rnacentral:rRNA from 1 species
UACGUAGGGUGCAAGCGUUGUCCGGAAUUAUUGGGCGUAAAGAGCUCGUAGGCGGUUUGUCGCGUCUGCUGUGAAAACCUAAGGCUCAACCUUGGGCUUGCAGUGGGUACGGGCAGACUAGAGUGCGGUAGGGGUGACUGGAAUUCCUGGUGUAGCGGUGGAAUGCGCAGAUAUCAGGAGGAACACCGAUGGCGAAGGCAGGUCACUGGGCCG